rnacentral:rRNA from 1 species
UACGAACCGUCCAAACGUUAUUCGGAAUCACUGGGCUUAAAGGGUGCGUAGGCGGUCCGGUAAGUUGGGUGUGAAAUCCCACGGCUCAACCGUGGAAUUGCGCUCAAAACUGUCGGACUCGAGGAAGAUAGAGGUGAGCGGAACUUAGGGUGGAGCGGUGAAAUGCGUUGAUAUCCUAAGGAACACCGGUGGCGAAAGCGGCUCACUGGGUCUUUUCUGACGCUGAGGCACGAAAGCUAGGGGAG